ACACGGAGGGUGCGAGCGUUGUUCGGAAUCACUGGGCGUAAAGCGGGUGUAGGCGGUCUAGCAAGUCAGAUGUGAAAGUCCAGGGCUCAACCCUGGAAGUGCAUCUGAAACUGUUAGACUUGAGUACUGGAGAGGGAAGUGGAAUUCCUGGUGUAGGGGUGAAAUCCGUAGAUAUCAGGAGGAACACCGGUGGCGAAGGCGACUUCCUGGACAGAUACUGACGCUCAGACCCGAAAGCGUGGGGAGCAAACAGGAUUAGAAACCCGAGUAGUCC
rnacentral:rRNA from 1 species